CUUUCAUUUGCAGGCUGUUUUAUGGUCAUGAACAGAGAUCAGCGAGUCACGAGGCUAAGGUAGAGGCACGCAAUAGCCAGAUACCGCCUCAACGUUGUAGUUGCUGCUAUGGUUAUAAUUGAGGAAUUUGAAGAACCACAGCGACGUUAAAGACGAUGGUGGGUCAAGCCUUGGAUUCAGAGACCAUCCCUCUACGGGCAAUACGAAACCCCUUUUGCAUGAAUUGCGUCUCGAGAACCCGGCCGAUUUCGAAGCUUAUUUGCGUCUCAAGACAGAGUUGUUUCAAGAACUAUGUACAAGAGUCGGGCCUCGCAUUCAAAUUAAUCAAGAUAGACGGCCUCCCCUGGGCAUUGGCAUAAAGCUGGCCAUCACAUUUCGCUUGUUGGCCACAGGCAACUCUUACCAUUCACUGGCGUUUGACUUUAUUUUUGACUGGGCAAUUGCUUCAGCUUAAUGAUUUAUAUGUGGCUGCGAUGGCUCUUCUUUCUCCUGGUCAUGCUGUCCAUCAUUGGGCUGACCUUCUGUUUUAGGAGGUAGCAUUUGCCGUGCUGCGACCUUUCUCUUCGGCAUCUUGACUUUAAAAUUGAGGUGUUUGGCGCUGAAUCUACCCACGUGAUCUGUCCACGUGCAUUUACCGGAAUCCUUCGGUCUCCUCACGAGCUCCGUCCGGUGUCUGUCAGUCAUCGUGCGGAGGCCCUCCGGCAAUCGGACGGUCGCCGGCCGAUGUAUAUGUCCCUGUGAAAUAUCUUGAUUUUUGCCGAUACGCGUACGAUGAAUCCGAUGUCGGAUGAUCGCCGGGCGAUAACCGUGCGUUGAUCGUCCGAUCUUUUUACGAUCUCAAUACGAUACCUUCCCGGGCCCGAAGUCGGGUAAAAUUUUAAGUGAGACUUAAAAUUAAUUCGGACGCCGCCCGAUGCCACAAAAUGACCCGAUGCCCGUGCGAUCAUCGCCCGGUCGCCAGCCAAAUGAGCGGAAAAAGACGUCGGCCGCUGAUCGGACGGCGAUCUGUCUCUAUUUGUGACUGAGGUAUAAGCAGUCAAUCAGUUCAAAAUACAAUUCGACCAUUAGAAUACCAAAUAUUGAAGCUGUUUGUUUUAGAGACCUAUACAAUUUAUUCUAUAUGACUUUAAAAGAGGAAAGCGAAGGCUAAUACGGGGCAUUUGCAUUUUGAGAAAACAUUUUAUUUUAAUAGUAUUUGUUAACUGAUUGCUUAAGACAUGUGUUUCUUAACAUAAAUAAUAAGUAAAUACAAAGAUGAAAAAUGGA